UACGUAGGGUGCGAGCGUUUGUCCGGAAUUACUGGGCGUAAAGAGCUCGUAGGUGGUUUUGUCGCGUUGUUCGUGAAAUCUCACGGCUUAACUGUGAGCGUGCGGGCGAUACGGGGCAGACUAGAGUACUGCAGGGGGAGACUGGAAUUCCUGGUGUAGCGGUGAAAUGCGCAGAUAUCAGGAGGAACACCGGUGGCGAAAGGCGGGGUCUCUGGGGCAGUAACUGACGCUGAGGAGCGAAAAGCGUGGGGGAGCGAACAGG
rnacentral:rRNA from 1 species